UACGGAAGGCAGCAGUGGGGAAUAUUGCACAAUGGGCGCAAGCCUGAUGCAGCCAUGCCGCGUGUAUGAAGAAGGCCUUCGGGUUGUAAAGUACUUUUCAGCGGGGAGGAAGGCGGUGAAGUUAAUAGCUUCACCGAUUGACGUUACCCGCAGAAGAAGCACCGGCUAACUCCGUGCCAGCAGCCGCGGUAAUACGGAGGGUGCAAGCGUUAAUCGGAAUUACUGGGCGUAAAGCGCACGCAGGCGGUCUGUCAAGUCGGAUGUGAAAUCCCCGGGCUUAACCUGGGAACUGCAUUCGAAACUGGCAGGCUAGAGUCUUGUAGAGGGGGUAGAAUUCCAGGUGUAGCGGUGAAAUGCGUAGAGAUCUGGAGGAAUACCGGUGGCGAAGGCGGCCCCUGGGACAAAGACUGACGCUCAGGUGCGAAAGCGUGGGGAGCAAACAGGGAUUAGGAUACC
rnacentral:rRNA from 1 species